rnacentral:rRNA from 1 species
AUUGAACGCUGGCGGCAUGGCUAAAACAUGCAAGUCGAACGUGCCCGCAAGGGCAAAUGGCUAAAGGGUCAAUAAUGCCAUCGAACGUACCCUGAGGUGGGGGAUAGGGCAGGGAAACUUGCCAUAAUACCCCAUGAUGUCCUCCGACCAAAGGUUUACCGCCUUGGGAGCGGCGAUCGUCCUAUCAGGUAGUUGGUGAGGUAAUGGCUCACCAAGCCGAAGACGGGUAGCAGGUGUGAGAGCACGACCUGCGACAUCGGGACUGAGACACUGCCCGGACUUCUACGGAAGGCUGCAGUAACGAAUCUUCCGCAAUGGGCGAAAGCCUGACGGAGCAAUGCCGCGUGUGGGAUGAAGCGGCUACACCUUGUAAACCACUGUCAGGGGGUAGGAACAAUGACCGCCCCCAAAGGAAGAGCCGGCUAACCCUGUGC